rnacentral:misc_RNA from 1 species
UUUCAUAUUAGCACAAGAUUAUGACACAUAGAUUUGCUUAUUGCACUCUAUUGCAUAUACAAUCCUAUGUUAAAAGUUCCACUAAGUGCACCCUACACUUGCAAAAUAUAUAAAUACAUUUUAUAUAAGAAUGGUCUUGUGUCUGGAAUUUAAAAUCUUGAAACAACUCAAAGGCAUAUUGAACUAUUAUUAUGGUCACAUUUUUUACUCAUAUCGACACACUAUUUGGUACGCCUCUACAUGUUACCCC